GAGGGUGGUGGUCUGCAAACGGAAGGCAAGCAAGCCUCUUGAGGGAGAGAGAGGGUGAAGGGGCCCAGUCUGGCUGUUCCCACAGAGGGGUUUGGAGAAAGGGUUAGGGUUUUGUUGCUGGUUCUUUCUCUUAGCAAGGGAAUUUCUAGUUUUCAAAGUAUCUUUGCACUCCUUGCCAGGGCAUUGCUUGGCGUGGUGGUCACUGGUCCAUUUCUAAUUGAAGGCAUUGUGUUGAGGCUUGUGGGAUUAUGUAGCCAGAGACACCAUUGAUUUCCAGUGUCCUUCUUGCUUACAAAUAUAGCAAGGGAAUUUCUAGUUUUCAAAGUAUCUUUGCACAACUUGCAAGGGCAUUGCAAAUUUGAUGAGAAUAGUUCAAGAAAUGAGGUGGGAGAGCCCUGUAAAAGUCCCCCCCCCGGGUUCCUUUUUUUUUUUUACGAUUGCGCAUGCGCAUCCGCCAUUUUAGAAACAUUUAGAAUCAUUACGAAUUUUCGGAAACAUCCGAAAUAUUUGGUUGAAAAAAUUGGAAAUACUUUCUAUAUCGAAGCGCCAGCACCCUCUACUUUAGAAACGAGAAUUGAAACAUUUUUUUCAUCGAUCGGACAUGCCUACUGCAUAACUGCAGCUGCCAAUUAAAUAGCCAAAUGCUCUGUAGAAACUGGAAACAUAACUACUGUUUUGCUUACUCUCAAAAAGUGGAUUAUUAAAAGUGGAUUAUUCUAUAUUAAUGCUUGUUUUCUCCUACGCUGUUUCUGAUCUGCUCCUAGACAUAGCAUUGUGCCUUGACGGUCAGUGAUCAAACAGCAUGAACAAACUUGUGACUGUUGGAUUAUGGUUGUGGAUCUCCUUCACAAUAGUCAAGGGUCUCAUGUGCAAUGUCUGCCAGCACCGCAUCUUUGCUUUUUACUGCAUUAAAGGAGCCGCUAAAUGUUCAACUCUACCUGGACAAAGUUGCAAAAAAGUCUUCGUCAAGUCAGAAAAAGGAAUGCUUUACGUCAGAAAAGGCUGCACUCUUCCGGGGGAGGAGUGUCCAUACACCCAAGGAUUUGAAGGCAUCACCACAAUGACUGUGUGCUGUGACGAUCUUGACUAUUGCAAUUAAAAAAAACUAUUCUCAGCUAAUCUGGUCUCUUUCUUUUAAGCAAUACAAUCUGCUGAUGUCAUUUUGAUCUAGGUUUUGAUAGGUUUUACAGCAUAAAAUGUCACCAGAUUACAGUAUCAAAUG